rnacentral:lncRNA from 1 species
AACUGAGUCACGAUUGGUUGUCACACCCAUUCACAUCCCCAGUGAGAGCCAGCUGUUGUGGGAGGGGCUCCUCUGACUGCUGAGACAUGCAGCUCCUCUGACUGCUGAGACAUGCGGCUCCUCUGACUGCUGAGACAUGCGGCUCCUCUGACUGCUGAGACAUGCAGCUCCUCUGACUGCUGAGACAUGCAGCUUCUAAGAUUGACUUAACUACCAGGUUCUCAGACUCUUAGACACGACUUUAAACUGUGGUUACUAUUUUAAGUGACUUUGUAAAUCCACAUAUAUGUACAUGAUGUAUAUGUACAUUCAUCCCAUUGGUUCUGCUCCUCUAGAGGACCCUGACUAAUACAACAUACAUCCCCAUUUAUCAUCCACAGCUUUGUACUUUUUUAACAAAUUUUUUCCCAAAAUGUGAAACUGUCCUUUCGUGACUUGUCUGGCUUGGUUCUCACAGAAAGAAAACUCUAAGCACUUAUCCACAUUAAAGGCCACGUGGUACUCGUGCCUUGGUGUUGCUGAACACCAUUCACAAGGACUCAUCACCUUGUUUGUGCCCUCUCGUCUGUGGUGGGCAUUUCAAUUGUUUCUGCCUUCUUACUGUUAGAAGUGGUGCUGUUAUGGACAUUGGUGCUUCGCACAAACCUCUGGAUUCAGUGGUCCUGGGUCGUCACCAGGGAGUGGAAUGACUGGGUCAUGUGGAAACUGCUCCGUCUGCGGGGGAGCCACGAGCCCCAUUUUCAGAGUAGCCUCACUAUUGUGUCCACUCCCACUGGCAGUUGUAGUGAGCUUUCCAUUUUCUCCACACACGCUAGUCAGUGCUUGGAGUCUGCCUCCCACCUUUUGUACGGCGGCAGCUGCAUAGCCCCUGCUGUGGACCAGUGAGGGUCUCACCAGAGAAAGGCAUGCUAAUGCCAAAGAAUUCCAAAACCGCUUCUAGGGAUGAUUGGUUUCUCCGCUAUUGAAGGAGUCAGAUUCUAAAAUCAGCUGCUUUACUGUUUUUUUGUUGUUUUGUUUUGUUUUUUGUUUUUUAAAAUGCAAACUGAGAAGAGAAGUAACAGGCAAGCUAACUCAGUGUCUGCCAGAGAGAUCUCAGUAGCAAUCAAGUGACAACUUUUCGUGCAUGGUCUGGUCCUUCCUCUUAGAAUUUGGAAUCAUGGAGUGCACGUGCCAGGAUAGACUAUCAGAGAAAGAGUGGGGGUGGGGAUGGGAGAAGAACAUGAAUUGGGGCAAAGGACCCUUUCCCUCCAUCCAUGAGAGUGUUAAUUCCUGUCUCCUGGGAGCUUUAUCACCUUCACGUCUUCCACACGUGAGCCUUUGGUAGCAACACGCUCUUAUUACACGUGUUUCCAUUAACAAAAGGAAUAUCUCCGCGAGGUCCUGAGGUGCUUACAGAAAUGCACACUAGUUCAGUGGUAGCCAGAGGGAUCCGAUCCAUCUGCCUAACGGCCUUCUGGCAGUUAAGCAUUUUACUUUAAGGCAAAUAAAAUGUCAGCCACCAUUAGGCAGCAUCUGGCAACAAUAUGGUCAUUUCAUCCCUGGGGACCGACCUCUCCCCCAGAAAAGAUGGUACUUGAAAUAGGAGAGGCUUUUGACUGCAGGACCUCCUAUCCCUCCCACCCAGGCAUGGUGGCUAAGGAGUGGGCAGACUGCCACCCACAGAAGGACACAGGGAGCCAGAUCAAAUGUGAACCUAGGGGGCAAACUUCUCAUACAGCAGUGACCAAAGGCUGUUCACCCUCGCUAUAUGGGUUUGUGGUUAAGGGGGAGUCUGAUCUCUAAGCUGGCCUAGAUUAGCUCUACAAAAUGUAAAACAGUCUCCGCAACCACUUGAAGAAGAACUUGGGCUGACUGAACUAAAAGCAGUGGUGGGCUGUGAGUGAAGAGAGAUGCUCAAAGAGGAGACUCCGCCCCUUGGAGUUCUCCGCCCACCCCCCUCCAUCCACCCGUGAAAGGGGCAAAACAAGCAGUUCUUUUGAAAGAGAGGGUGAGGAUGUGUAACCUUCUCUGGUGGGAGCAUCAGUUUAGGGGUUCGAGACCACAUGGGUAAUAAGAAGAGCUAAUUUGCUAUCACCAGGGAAGCUGCCUAAGACUGGAAAAAUAACACAUUUCUUCAAUAGUCUGGGCGAGUGUACGGGUUAAAAAAACAAACAAACAAACAAACAAACAAACAAACUUAUCAAUUGGGCUGGCUUGCUUCUCACACGCAGUGCUGGGAUGUUCCCUGUUCUGAAUUGGGAGGAAUUGUGUUCUUCAAAUAAGCCAACUGUGCUGUGCGCCGUGCUGGGAAGCACAUUCCCACUGUGGCACGGUCUCUGUGGGAAAUAGAUGCAGGGUAGGCAGUUUUCCAUCAAGCUCCUUACAUAUAGGCUUAUCAUAUUUCUAGGCCUCCAGUUUGACCAACAUGGUCACAUCAAUGAAAUCAUGAACUUUGUAAAAACAGAGUUCAACUGGAGUGUCAGGAGCAUUUACUUUGAUGAAAUGGUUGACAUUGUCCAAAACUUCUCACCAACGUCAUGGCUUCUCUCUCAAGCUACCUUACUAAUAUUGGUAAAGUCUAUCCUUAUUUUUUUCAAAGUAAAGACCCUAGCGCUUUAAAGAAUAAAAUACAAUAAGUAAAAAAACUUUGAAUGUAAGAAUAUUGGUACACACAUGUGUUUGAUUUCUUUGGUUGUUUGUGAAUAGUUCUAGCGAAGUAGAGCUGGCCUUAAACUCCUCAUCUUCUGCCUCUACAUCCCAUAGAUGGAAUCCCACCCCGCGGAUGUAACGUACAAUGCACAUUACCCAUGUACCACUGGAUUGGGCCACAUGCACAUUCCUAUAGAGCCCUGAAAAGCAAAGAAAGCAUCCUCAGGCCAACCAAUCUUUCUUGUUUUAAUUUUCUUAGUCUUAGUUUAAUAAUGCCUUAUUACAAUGUUAGAAAACUGAGCUACUGCACAGUUUUAAUGUGUAGGAAAGUGGUAAAUUUUAAAGUAACACUAAUAUUACUUUUAAAAAUGUUUUCCAAGAUAAUUGUCUUUGGGAAAAUGUGUUGCUAAUAAAUAGAUAAAUAAAUAAAUAAAUAAAUAGC